CUUGCUGUUGUCAAUGCUGCUAAGCACGAGAUACAAGUGCUCGACUCGUUUGGUACACUCUUAGGACACAGGGAGCUCGAAGCUACAUUGCAAGGUAUGGAGAAAGAAAUAAAGUUCAUAUACGAGUGUGUUACUGUAGAAAAGAAUGUAUGGCCAAACCUUGAUGUAGCUUCGUGGCCAAGAAAAGAGAUUCUACCACAUCGGCAGCAAACAGAUGGUUGUUCAUGUGGCCUAUUCUUAAUCAAUUUUGUGGAGUAUUGGACCGGAGAAGAGCUUUCCAACACCAUAACACAGCAAUAUAUGACAAGAUUCAGGUUGAAACUUGCUGCUAUUUUGUUAUCGACUGGGUUUAACAUUCGGAGAGGACGUCCAUUGUUUCCGAGCAAUGACGAUGAUAAACCUGGAAGUCCAAAUGAUGUUGUGGAAAUAGAGAAUCCUGAAAAGCAGAGCACAACUUCAAUCAAGAGAAAGCGUGAUAGAGAUGGUGAUAUCAUAUCAUAUCAACUCAACAAACCUCUACACAGAAUCAUCGUGAUGGAGAUAACUUUUUAGGCUAUAUUUCAGAGCUGUAUGGGAACCUGCCCAAAAAAGAGUUGACAGGAAUAUUGUGUGAUUACAUCAGGUCGAUUGAUGAUGCCGCUGCCUUGGAGAAGUGUGUGAUGCGAAGCUUUAAACCUUACGAUAUUGCGUUAACUAUAAAAGAUCUACAGGAGAUAUUACGAAUAGAUACAUGUAUAUCUGUGAAAUGUUUCAACCUGGGUGUUCGUUGUCGCGCCUAUCUCAAGUACUGACAGUUGACAUAUUAUAAUAAUGCCAUCUCAAGGGAUUUUAUGGAUCUACGAUUCUGUAUGAUGUGUGAUUUGACACGAGAUCCAAAAUUUUAUCAUGGGAUAUCAUGAAAUAUGAUCACUUGCGUUGCAAAUACUUCCUUCUGCCAUGGUUCACCGGGGAAAAACUUCAUGUUAUAUAUGUUGGAUCAUAUGGAUAAGAAAAUAUAUGUGAUUGAUCCAUCACCCAUUCCGAGUUGGUGUGAAGGAAAUGCGUUCAGAAAGUACGGAAAGAAUCUUACGCAUUUCAGUAAAAGUUACAUGUCCGCAAUGAACGUUCAAAGCUCCGGGUGGUACGAGGAUAUAUACAAGUGGUCUUUCAGACAUGAAAAAGAAAUUGUUCAAGACAGUGAAGAAGGGUAUUCUAUGGGCUACCUAGUUUUGCAGUACAUGUCUACAUGGAAAAAUACGCAAAACACAGAGAUUUGUAAGGAUGCCCGCACUAUGCGAGAGAACUUCAUCAUCGAUGUGUUGGCAUCGGAUUUAAAUGCUUAUUGGAAACUGCUACCUGCGAAUGUUAAAGAUUAUCUUAGCCGCAUCACAGAUAAAAAUAUAAAAUAGAAUAUAGUGUACAAUUGGUUGAAUAUUUAGUUGUCUUUGGUGACAAUGGCGAUCCAAUUGCUUUGAUUUAUUUCACCAUAACUUUUGGAGUGACAACGUUAUAUACGAUGAAUGUUUUUAUUUGCUGA